rnacentral:rRNA from 1 species
UGACCGCUGGCGGCGUGCUUAACACAUGCAAGUCGAACGAAGCACUUUAUUUGAUUUCCUUCGGGACUGAUUAUUUUGUGACUGAGUGGCGGACGGGUGAGUAACGCGUGGGUAACCUGCCUUGUACAGGGGGAUAACAGUUGGAAACGGCUGCUAAUACCGCAUAAGCGCACGGCAUCGCAUGAUGCAGUGUGAAAAACUCCGGUGGUAUAAGAUGGACCCGCGUUGGAUUAGCUAGUUGGUGAGGUAACGGCCCACCAAGGCGACGAUCCAUAGCCGACCUGAGAGGGUGACCGGCCACAUUGGGACUGAGACACGGCCCAAACUCCUACGGGAGGCAGCAGUGGGGAAUAUUGCACAAUGGGCGAAAGCCUGAUGCAGCGACGCCGCGUGAGCGAAGAAGUAUUUCGGUAUGUAAAGCUCUAUCAGCAGGGAAGAUAAUGACGGUACCUGACGAAGAAGCACCGGCUAAAUACGUG